UCAGCUCGUGCCGUGAGGUGUCGGGUUAAGUCCCAUAACGAGCGCAACCCCUAUCGUUAGUUGCCAGCGGAUAAUGCCGGGGACUCUAGCGAAACUGCCGGUGUAAACCGAGAGGAAGGUGGGGAUGACGUCAAAUCAGCACGGCCCUUAUGUCCAGGGCUACACACGUGUUACAAUGGCCGGUACAAUGGGCAGCUACCUGGUGACAGGAUGCUAAUCUCCAAAGCCGGUCUCAGUUCGGAUCGGAGUCUGCAACUCGACUCCGUGAAGUUGGAUUCGCUAGUAAUCGUAUAUCAGCAAUGAUACGGUGAAUACGUUCCCGGGCCUU
rnacentral:rRNA from 1 species